GACGAACGCUGGCGGCGUGCUUAACACAUGCAAGUCGAACGGAAAGGCCCUGCUUUUGUGGGGUGCUCGAGUGGCGAACGGGUGAGUAACACGUGAGUAACCUGCCCUUGACUUUGGGAUAACUUCAGGAAACUGGGGCUAAUACCGGAUAGGAGCUCCUGCUGCAUGGUGGGGGUUGGAAAGUUUCGGCGGUUGGGGAUGGACUCGCGGCUUAUCAGCUUGUUGGUGGGGUAGUGGCUUACCAAGGCUUUGACGGGUAGCCGGCCUGAGAGGGUGACCGGCCAAAUGGGGACUGGGAUACGGCCCAGACUCCUACGGGGGGAAGGGGGGGGGAAUAUUGCACAAGGGGCGGAAGCCUGAGGCAGCAACGCCGGGGGGGGGAUGACGGCCUUGGGGUUGUAACCCGCUUUCGCCUGGGACGAAGCGGGGGUGACGGUAAUGGGUAAAGAAGCACCGGCUAACUACGU
rnacentral:rRNA from 1 species